rnacentral:sRNA from 1 species
GGGUGCGGGCGCUGCCUACCGCCUCACGCCAAUGUGGGGGCGACCGCGGGGAGGGCGGUGCAGAGGAAGGUAAAGAAGUGAGGAAGCCUCCCACCUCCUCACAGCCCACCGGGGAGAGGGAAGCAGUGAAGGAAACAACACCGUGGCCUCAGUUUCCUCCCUCAUUGUCAGGGACCAGCG